AUGGCGACCUCCAGGAAGUUCGUUGGGGGGAACUGGAAGAUGAACCGACGGAAGAAGAGCCUGGGGGAGCUCAUCCGCACUCUGAAGGCGGCCAAGGUGCCGGCCAACACUGAGGUGGUUUGCACUCUCCCCACUGCCUAUACCGACUUUGCCCCAGAAGCUAGAGCCCAAGAUUGCUGUGGCUGCGCAGAACUGCUACAAAGUAACUAACGGGGCCUUUACUUGGGAGAUCAGCCCUGGCAUGAUCAAAGACUGCAAAGCCAAUCGAGGGUCCUGGGGCACUCAGAGAGUAGGCAUGUCUUUGGGGAGUCAGAUAAGCUGAUUGGGCAGAAAGUGGCCCAUGCUCUGGCAAAGGGACUCAGAGUAAUCGCUUGCACUGGGGAGAAGCUAGCUGAAAGGGAAGUGGCAUCACUGAGAAGUUUGUUUUCGAGAAGAAAGAGGUCAUCGCAGAUAACGUGAAGGACUGGAGCAAGGUCGUCCUGGCCUGCGAGCCUGUGUGGGCCAUUGGUACCAGCAAGACUGCAACACCCCAGAAGGCCCAGGAAGUACACGAGAAGUUCUGAGAAUGGUGUCCAACAUCUCUGAUGUGGUGGCUCAGAGCACCCGUAUCCAUUUAUGGAGGCUCUGUGAUGGGGGCAACCUGCAAGGAGCUGGCCAGCCAGCCUGAAGUGGAUGGCUUCCUCGUGGGUGAUGCUUCCCUCAAGCCCUAAUUCGUGGACAUCAUCAAUGCCAAACAAUGA
rnacentral:lncRNA from 1 species